rnacentral:rRNA from 1 species
CCUACGGGAGGCAGCAGUGGGGAAUAUUGCACAAUGGGCGAAAGCCUGAUGCAGCGACGCCGCGUGUGGGAUGACGGUCCUCUGGAUUGUAAACCACUUUCCCCAGGGACGAAGAUGACUGUACUUGGGGAGGAAGCUUCGGCAAACUACGUGCCAGCAGCCGCGGUAAUACGCAGGGAGCGAGCGUUGUCCGGAAUUACGGGGUGUAAGGGGAGCGUAGGCGGUGAUGCAAGUUGGGGGGAAAAACUACCGGUUCAACUGGGAGUCGCACUCAAAACUGCAGAUCUUGAGUGAGGUAGAGGCAGGCGGAAUUCCUAGUGUAGCGGUGAAAUGCGUAGAUAUUAGGAGGAACACCAGUGGCGAAGGCGGCCUGCUGGG